rnacentral:rRNA from 1 species
GGAAUUUUCCGCAAUGGGCGAAAGCCUGACGGAGCAAGACCGCGUGGGGGAAGAAGGCUCUUGGGUUGUAAACCCCUUUUCUCAGGGAAGAAGUUCUGACGGUACGGGGAGAAGAAGCCCCGGCUAACUACGUGCCAGCAGCCGCGGUAAUACGUAGGGGGCCAGCGUUGCUCGGAAUUACUGGGCGUAAAGGGUCUGUAGGCGGUGCGGUAAGUCCGGAGUGAAAUCUCCAGGCUCAACUUGGAGGCUGCUUCGGAAACUGCCGUGCUCGAGUGUGGGAGAGGCGCGUGGAAUUGCAGGUGUAGCGGUGAAAUGCGUAGAUAUCUGCAGGAACACCAGUGGCGAAAGCGGCGCGCUGGACCACAACUGACGCUGAGAGACGAAAGCUAGGGGAGCA